CGGUUCCAGAAAGAAUCUGCUUCCGGCUUCUCUAGGAGUGCGGGAGGAGGUGACCUCUGUGGUUUUCAUCAAGUUUCUGGGACUCCGACGAAAGGAGCGUAGGGGGAAAGUGUGAAGCUUCAUCGGUGCUGGCCGUAAAGAUCUUGGGCGUUUCUUCCAAAGACACAAGCCAGGAUGCUGCUGCUUGGUGGUGCUUUUUUUGGGUCUCACGAAAGCUUAGCAGCAUUGAAUGGUUGCAUUCGCACAACCAGCAUUAUUCGGCCAGUUGCAGAUUUAAGUGUACCUUCAGCGUCUCCUUGCCUCAUUUAACCCUUAUUAUUUAACCCUUACAAUAGUGGAGCAUAAAAACUCACUCUUGUUGGCAGCAUGCUGCCCAGGCAGGCUAAAGUUGAUCAUGGAUAUUUCUAUCGGAAGCCUGCGGCUCCCACAAACUCGGGAGUGAGUCUGGUUCUCUUCCCUUGUAUAAAAUAAUUUUGAAAAUUGAGAGAACUAAUAGAAAUAAAAAUCACUGAAAAUCAUCCAGAUUUGUGCUUAGGCGAUUAUAACCCUACCUCAAUGUACCUUAGAUUAUUGGAUGCCCCCAAGAAUAACAGAAAUUGGACCUAGAAAAGGGGACCAAAGGACCUGUCCAGGUAGUUGCCAGGAGUUAAGACUGAUUUGAAGGCACAAAAGAGCAAAAUAAAUUUUACAGUUGGAUCCAGCGCAUCUGCGUAUAUAGGUUAAUGCUUAAUGCUUAAUGACUGGUUGCUUAGCGACUUCAAAGUUACGAUGUCCACCCCACUCCAGGUGAAGGUGCUAUAUGAAUUCUCACAGGAACAAAGAAAUAUUUGAAGCAUCGUAAUUUUACUGAAAUUAUGAAGAUUUAUGAAACACAGAAGACUGAUGAGAAUGCAGUUUAAUCACCGAAGCCCCCUGCAGGCGAUGGGAUGCAAUGGAGAGAGAAGUAGAAUAUUUUACUGCAGCAUAAUGCUGAACAGCUGUGCUUGGAGUUGAUCAUUACUCUUCAUGUUGAAAAAAAGUUCAGUCAUAGUCCAUCACUUAGGAAGGUCUUUUAGUGCAAAAGAUUUGGAGGAUAACUAACCAUAAGGACUUAAUUAUGAUGAUUUAGUUGGUAACAGUUGUACAUGACUGAGAAGAACCCCACUAUUGAUACACCUGUGCUACAGCUGGUGGU